rnacentral:rRNA from 1 species
GAUGAACGCUGGCGGUCUGCUUAACACAUGCCAGGUCGAGCGGGGACUUUCGGGCCCUAGCGGCGGACGGGUGAGUAACGCGUGAGAAUCUACCCUCAGGAUGGGGACAACAGCUCGGAAACGGCUGCUAAUACCCGAUGAGCCUAGCGAUAAAAGAUUUAUCGCCUGAGGAAGAGCUCGCGUCAGAUUAGCUAGUUGGAGUGGUAACGGCACACCAAGGCAAUGAUCUGUAGCUGGUCUGAGAGGAUGACCAGCCACACUGGGACUGACGACACGGCCCAGACUCCUACGGGAGGCAGCAGUGGGGAAUUUCGCAAUGGGCGCAAGCCUGACGGAGCAAGACCGCGUGGGGGAGGAA